CCGUGUACGUACAAGCAGUGGGAGCCUCUUAAUGGGGUGACUGCGUACCUUUUGUAUAAUGGGUCAGCGACUUAUAUUCUGUAGCAAGGUUAACCGAAUAGGGGAGCCGAAGGGAAACCGAGUCUUAACUGGGCGUUAAGUUGCAGGGUAUAGACCCGAAACCCGGUGAUCUAGCCAUGGGCAGGUUGAAGGUUGGGUAACACUAACUGGAGGACCGAACCGACUAAUGUUGAAAAAUUAGCGGAUGACUUGUGGCUGGGGGUGAAAGGCCAAUCAAACCGGGAGAUAGCUGGUUCUCCCCGAAAGCUAUUUAGGUAGCGCCUCGUGAAUUCAUCUCCGGGGGUAGAGCACUGUUUCGGCAAGGGGGUCAUCCCGACUUACCAACCCGAUGCAAACUGCGAAUACCGGAGAAUGUUAUCACGGGAGACACACGGCGGGUGCUAACGUCCGUCGUGAAGAGGGAAACAACCCAGACCGCCAGCUAAGGUCCCAAAGUCAUGGUUAAGUGGGAAACGAUGUGGGAAGGCCCAGACAGCCAGGAUGUUGGCUUAGAAGCAGCCAUCAUUUAAAGAAAGCGUAAUAGCUCACUGGUCGAGUCGGCCUGCGCGGAAGAUGUAACGGGGCUAAACCAUGCACCGAAGCUGCGGCAGCGACGCUUAUGCGUUGUUGGGUAGGGGAGCGUUCUGUAAGCCUGUGAAGGUGGCCUGUGAGGGUUGCUGGAGGUAUCAGAAGUGCGAAUGCUGACAUAAGUAACGAUAAAGCGGGUGAAAAGCCCGCUCGCCGGAAGACCAAGGGUUCCUGUCCAACGUUAAUCGGGGCAGGGUGAGUCGACCCCUAAGGCGAGGCCGAAAGGCGUAGUCGAUGGGAAACAGGUUAAUAUUCCUGUACUUGGUGUUACUGCGAAGGGGGGACGGAGAAGGCUAUGUUGGCCGGGCGACGGUUGUCCCGGUUUAAGCGUGUAGGCUGGUUUUCCAGGCAAAUCCGGAAAAUCAAGGCUGAGGCGUGAUGACGAGGCACUACGGUGCUGAAGCGACAAAUGCCCUGCUUCCAGGAAAAGCCUCUAAGCAUCAGGUAACAUUAAAUCGUACCCCAAACCGACACAGGUGGUCAGGUAGAGAAUACCAAGGCGCUUGAGAGAACUCGGGUGAAGGAACUAGGCAAAAUGGUGCCGUAACUUCGGGAGAAGGCACGCUGAUAUGUAGGUGAAGCGACUUGCUCGUGGAGCUGAAAUCAGUCGAAGAUACCAGCUGGCUGCAACUGUUUAUUAAAAACACAGCACUGUGCAAACACGAAAGUGGACGUAUACGGUGUGACGCCUGCCCGGUGCCGGAAGGUUAAUUGAUGGGGUUAGCGGUAACGCGAAGCUCUUGAUCGAAGCCCCGGUAAACGGCGGCCGUAACUAUAACGGUCCUAAGGUAGCGAAAUUCCUUGUCGGGU
rnacentral:rRNA from 1 species